rnacentral:rRNA from 1 species
GAUGAACGCUGGCGGCGUGCCUAAUACAUGCAAGUCGAACGCUGGAGCUCUAGCUUGCUAGAUCGAAGGAGUGGCGAACGGGUGAGUAAUACAUAAGCAACCUACCCACGAAGACUGGGAUAAUCUCUGGAAACGGGGACUAAUACCGGAUAGGUAAUCGGAAGGCAUCUUCUGGUUAUUAAAGGUUAAAAAUACUGGUGGUUGGGCUUAUGGCGCAUUAGUGAGUUGUUGAGGUAACGGCCCACCAAGACGAUGAUGCGUAGCCGGCCUGAGAGGGUGAACGGCCACAUUGGGACUGAGACACGGCCCAGACUCCUACGGGAGGCAGCAGUAGGGAAUUUUAGGCAAUGGGGGCAACCCUGACCGAGCAACGCCGCGUGAGUGAAGACGGCCUUCGGGUUGUAAAGCUCUGUUGUAAGGGAAGAACGGUAGAUAGAGAAUAUCUAAGUGACGGUACCUUACCAGAAAGCCACGGCUAACUACGUG